ACUAGUGGUCUUGGUUUCGAAAAGGGGAAUGCCUCCACCAAGAAACAUGGCAAGAGUCACUUUAGUGUCCUCACACCAGUAAGCCAGUGGGCAAAAAGAGGAUCACUAUUCUGGUGGGGAAAUGGGCCUUGAUCAUUGUGAAGCCGCAGUAAGACAUAGGCAGGGAGGAAUGUAUUUGGAAUUCAGCUGAGUGUUUUCAAUGCUCCCAUGCUUAGUUGUAACUGGGCAAGUACAACAACCACAUCCUCAUAAGGGCAUGGUAAUCAGGAACUCAGACCGUUGGGGGUGAAAGUCAGUUCAGUCUACAUCCAAGUCAAUGUAGAGGAAGAAAAAUAAUUUUCCCUUGAUCCUCCUAGGUUCUUGGCUGAGACCCGCCCUUGCCUCCCAUAAUAAAAUACAGAUUAAUAGGAGGAAAAUAAAAACAAUUUUAAUUAUGUAUGUCCAUAGAAGAGCUCCGCAAACAUAUGAGACUCAAUUUUAAUUAUGUAUGUCCAUAGAAGAAAUCUACAAACAUAUGAGACUCAAAAGGCAUUCAGAAAAUCGAGGCUUAUAUACCAUCCUCAGCUAAGAAAAACGAUGUGUGGGUUUUGGGCUUCGAAGGGGAGAAAGCAGUAUUUCCUUUUAAAAGUAGAUUUCCGUUACAGAAGGAAAACUUCUAGUCUGUUUUCAGAGGUUCUCCUGUAUUUCUAGUUUCUUAAAAAUAAUCUGUUCUAAAUAAUCCUUAUGCCAAAGAAGCAUAUUUUGGGGUGGCACAUUUAGGUCCUUCAUCACCUAGACUGGCAGCACUUCUGGUCGAAGAGGAGAGGGAUUCUCUAAAAGUGACCACUAAGUAUGGAAUCAUGGCAAAUAUAAAUGACUUAUUGCUAAUAUAUUACAAUACAUGAUAUGUUGACUGACAUUACAUGAUAUGCUCCUGAAUCAUUAAUCAUGCCAAAUUUCCAUCAGUCCCUGCACGUGUAGCUAUGAUGUGUUAACUCCUCUACUUUUCACUCAAAGAGAAGAAACUCACUCUCUUAGCACCACAAAAGUAAACAGGGUGACUCAAUCUAUUAAAAGAGAGACAGAGAGGGAAAGUCCAGGUUUUUUCGACCACUAUGUAGCAUAGGCAGGAGACAAAGAUUAUCAGUAUCACUUAGAACCUCGGGACUAGCUGCAGCUGUUGGUGCUUUAACUUGGCCAACUAACCUCUUGUAGAUUUCCCCAGAAAUAUGACCAAGCAGGAUCCUGGGGAAACUGUGCCUGGAAUGUACUUAAUGUAGGAAGCAAAUAAGUCUGGGUGGUGUGGGGGAUGGCCUGUGCUCUUGAUACCCUGCUCAGAUGCCCAUCCUCCAGUUGCCUAAUUGCUCCCAGCUGAAGCCAACUCACCCAUCAAGCUAGGAGUGACCUCCACAUCCCCCCUUCCUGUUGAGGAGGCAGAUCUCAGCCAAUGACUGACUGACAUAGGGUAUAAAAGUUUAACCACUUAGCCUCAAAAGGGAGUUAACUGAGGUGUAACUUUUGGUUCCAGAACUUUCCUGUGGAAUUAAGCUGAAAUUAGUCUUUGCUGCAACCACAUACUUGUUUAGGUUUUAAUCCUUACCUUCUCCUGCCUUUCUCACUCUUCUUCUGAACACUUAUCUUUAAUGAAUUGCCUGAACUUCUCUGACUCUGCAUCGAGGAAACCCAACCCACAACAUUUGUUCUGUAGAACAAACAUCUGACACCAUCACACCAGGCUAAAAUCAAGGUGUGGGCAGCACCGUGCUCCCUUCUGGAGGCUUUUAGGUUAGUUACAUUUUUUGACGUUGAAGAAGUAGCCCUCUGUAGGGGAUGUUAUAUGUGUCCCACUCCAGCAGUACACUCCCUCUCAACACCAAGGGCCAGGGACCAGCUGUUUCCAAGGACUGUGCUCCAACCCUGUUGGUUGUAUGGCCUGAGAUGUCCCAGCACUGGAACCUACAGACAACUGGAUGGUGCCUGGAUUUGGUGCCAAGUACCCAAGCAAGAUGUCUGCAUCUAGCCAGAACUCAUUUAAA